CACUCACCACCAACUGCUGCUCCACGCCGCCGCACAUAGAUAGACUGAAAAUGUUCUCAAUCCCUGGGAGCCGCACAGUAAAGCCGGAAAACCUUCAGAAUGUACCUUCUGUGCUACAGUCGCAGAUGGGGUUUAUCCUGAAAACAAUGGACAGGAAGGCCCUGGUCCUGGCUGCUUAUGAGACUAGCAAAGCUCUCUUGCAUCUUUAUUUUUAUGGAAAGGAUUUCUGAGGCAUAGAUGAAGUAAAAACACUAGAA